UCUGCCACCCUUGCUUGUGCUCUCUCUCUGUGUCAAAUAAAUAAAAAAUUAAUUAAAUCUUUUUAAAAAUAAAAAUAAAGCUGUUAAAAACAAGUGAAAAGAAUUAGGUGUCCAACCUGAGCCCUGCAUAGCCCUUACCAGGCCAGGUGCCAGUGCUAUGUGGGCAAAGAGGCCACAGAGAGGCAGGACUCCCUACAGAGCAGGCCUGUGUGGAGGCAGCGUGUCACAACCACCAGACCCAGUGUGCAGCACUGAGGACAGCCCAGCCGGCAUGUCUUCCCAGCAGGUAAGGAACAAGUUAGGUUGCAAGAACUUUCUUCGCAAGGGGUCACCGAACCUGGGCCACGGCUCCAGCAGCAGGUGGCUUUCAGAGAGCAGACCCCAGCACGAGAGGCACCACACUGAGGGACCCCACCCCCCAAGCUGCAAACAGCCUCUGCUGGGAAGCUGCCCACAUGCACGGGGCCAGUUCAUUUCAGCCAGGUGCCUGGGGAGCUUCCCGAUGAGUUGGUUCCUCGGCUAGGUGAGCAGCACCUGGGCCUCGCUUACCUGCCUUCAGAGAGGGGCUCUCCUCGUGUCCUCCUGGUCCUCCAGGGAAGCAUGGAGCCGGGACGUGGGAGGGCAGAGGCUGGCCAGGGAUGGGCAGGGCCACUUGGCUCACGCAUAAUCCACAGAGAGGCCCUGAUAUUCCUGCUUGUACCUUUGCUCAGGCCGCGUCCUCCUGGGGAAUCAUCAUUCCCCAGAUGCUGAGUCACAGCAGACACAACCUCCAGCGUUUACAGAGAGGGCACAGCCACCCACAACACACAAUGUUACAGAAACAGCCGUCGGUCAGGGUCCUGUUGGGAGGCAGGGGGCCAAACCCCCAGAGGGGCCAGGGACCGGGUACUGACAGGCCGUGCUUCGCUUCCACCCGCCCACCCCUGCACCUCAACCUGUUAGGUCAGGGAAGGCCCUUGCGGUGAUGGGGCUGGACCUCUCCCACGGAGAUCACUGUGAGUAAUUUCCUUCUUGGUUUCUGAGGCUGCCUGCAGGGGGUGACGGGUGAGAAGUUAUCAUCCCCUUUCCAGAGAACUUAAAUGAGACACAUCUUCUUCACUCCUCUCAGGGCUUCCCCUGAAGGGACUCCAACAGCCUUAGGCCCCGCUGCCUGCUCUCCCAUCAUCCAGGACAAAGAGAGGAGUCGGGCUCAGCACGUGUGUUUUCUGACUGAGCCUUUCCCAACACAGCCUGUGAAGAGGGUGCGACCAGCCCUGCUUUGUAGGUUGGGGGCUGUGCAGGGGUGUGAUCCUGGGGACAGGCGUGGGCGCACUCUCCUCAGGGGCUUCUGGUCCUCUGCGGGGUCCAUGCACUGCUCGAAUCCCCCCUGACCUCUCCCCUCCCUGCUCAGACCGGAGAAGUACUGCAGGAACCCACAGGGUCUGGGGCUGCAGGCCCCAGUCGGUGGGAUGGGGGAUGGCCGGAGGGGUGCCCCUCCCUGGGCUCCAGGAGGCCUUGUGGGCAGAGGAGAUGGCCUCCCACAUUGAUGUGUGUGCUUCUGCAAAGCCAUUCCGGGACUCAGUAAGUGCCCGGCCCGGCCCGGCCCUGGGGACUGAGGAAGGGACAGGACAGCCUCCCCGCCUCUGAGGGACCUCAGGCUAACAAUGAAGCAACACAGAGCACCCUCUGCCGGCAAGCCCUGGGUCAGCCCUGCUGAGGUGCCCACAUAGCAGGUCGUCAAGGGAUAGCCACUGCCCUCUACGCUGGACCCCAAGCCCUGCUCUCCAAGAAGGGUCCAGGCUUUACCCCUUGGAGCAAACAGAACUUGGCCCGAAAAGCUCUGUGACAAAGCUCAAGACAGAUGCCAGGGAAAGGCCCGGUCCCAACAACCAGGGGCGGAGGGAGCCAGAAACCUGUGUGCGCCCAGCAAGGACCAGUGGUAGAUGCCACAGCCCGUGCACAGAGGGUGGGGAUGGGCAGACAGGCACAUGGUCCCAGAUACCUCUGUAUAAAUUACUCAUGAAAGCGUUAGUGGCUGGGGCGCCUGGUGGCUCAGUGGGUUGAGUCUGCCUUCGGCUCGGGUCAUGGUCCCAGGGUCGUGGGAUCGAGCCCCACACCCAGCUCUCUGCUCGGUGG